rnacentral:rRNA from 1 species
AACUGCAAAGCUAGGGAGUGGGAGAGGUAGACGGUACUCGGUAGGAAGGGGUAAAAUCCUUUGAUCUAUUGAUGACCACCAGUGGCGAAGGCGGUCUACCAGAACACGUUCGACGGUGAGGGAUGAAAGCUGGGGGAGCAAACCGGAUUAGAUACCCGGGUAGUCCCAGCUGUAAACGAUGCAGACUCGGUGAUGCCCUGGCUUGUGGCCAGUGCAGUGCCGCAGGGAAGCCGUUAAGUUUGCCGCCUGGGAAGUACGUACGCAAGUAUGAAACUUAAAGGAAUUGGCGGGGGAGCACCACAAGGGGUGAAGCCUGCGGUUCAAUUGGAGUCAACGCCAGAAAUCUUACCCGAGGAGACAGCAGAAUGAAGGUCAAGCUGGAGACUUUACCAGACAAGCUGAGAAGUGGUGCAUGGCCGUCGCCAGCUCGUGCCGUGAGAUGUCCUGUUAAGUCAGGUAACGAGCGAGAUCCCUGCCUCUAGUUGCCACCAUUACUCUCAGGAGUAGUGGGGCGAAUUAGCGGGACCGCCGCAGUUAAUGUGGAGGAAGGAAGGGGCCACGGCAGGUCAGUAUGCCCUGAAACCUUGGGGCCACACGCGGGCUGCAAUGAUAGUGACAAUGAGUUCCUAAACCGAAAGGUGGAGGCAAUCUUCAAACGCUAUCACAGUUAUGAUUGAGGGCUGCAACUCGCCCUCAUGAAUAUGGAAUCCCUAGUAACUGCGUGUCAUUACCGCGCGGUGAACACGUCCCUGCUCCUUGCACACACCGCCCGU